rnacentral:rRNA from 1 species
GACGAACGCUGGCGGCGUGCUUAACACAUGCAAGUCGAACGGGUCUGCCCUGUUUUUUGCGGGGUGGGUCAGUGGCGAACGGGUGAGUAACACGUGAGUAACCUGCCCCUCACUUCUGGAUAACCGCUUGAAAGGGUGGCUAAUACGGGGUGUUCUGGCUGUGCCGCAUGGUGUGGCUGGGAAAGAUUCACUUUUGUGGUGUUUUGGUGGGGGAUGGGCUCGCGGCCUAUCAGCUUGUUGGUGGGGUGAUGGCCUGCCAAGGCUUUGACGGGUAGCCGGCCUGAGAGGGUGGGCGGUCACACUGGGACUGAGAUACGGCCCAGACUCCUGCGGGAGGCAGCAGUGGGGGGUAGUGCACAAUGGGCGGAAGCCUGAUGCAGCGGCGUCGCGUGAGGGAUGGAGGCCUUCGGGUUGUGAACCUCUUUCGCCGGUGAAGAAGGUCCUGCUCUUUGGGGUGGGGUUGACGGUAGCCGGGUUAUGAAGCGCCGGCUAACUACGUG